CGGGAUGUAGCGCAGUCUGGUAGCGCGCCUGCUUUGGGAGCAGGAUGUCGGGGGGUUCGAAUCCCUCCAUCCCGA
rnacentral:tRNA from 1 species